rnacentral:lncRNA from 1 species
GAGUCACUGUCGGGGAUAGGCAAAGUCACAGCUACCAACUCCGGGGAUCUUCCAACAAUUCGCGGGAACAUGCAGAGAUAUUGAUAAGAUCUGUCGUAGGAGAACUCUACUGGGGAUCUUAACACGGAUAAGAUCUGUCGUAGAAGAAAUUCUACUGGGGAACUUAUCAAGGAAAUGAUAUGAAACUCUGUGGGGAACAACCACCAAACCGAAACACAAUCAAUCAAGCACUCC